AUCUCACUGGAGAUCCCUGCAUACUGGAGUCCUUCUAAAGGAGAUCAUGUAGCCAUGGGCCUGUAGGUUAUGCUCCCUUUAUGAUAUUAAAACGUUAAGAAGAGUAUGUAACACAGUGUCAGUGUCAGAAAACCUCUGGGGAGGCAAGAUCCAGCUAGUGCUGUCUCUAGUAAUUGCUGCCUUUGAGUUUCUACUCUUGGAAAUGCUAUCCUUUGGAAAUGAAGGAAUCCUGAGGAGCAGAAGAGGAGGUUCACAUAGACGUAGUGAAAACCUAGGAGGCAAAUUCAGGCCUUCCAGAAUUAAGGCUUUAUUUGCUGCUGGACAGUUAGUUCCUGACUGACCUGAAGAAAGUGGUGAAGCUUUGCUGGCUCAUUUCCUAGUCCAUUAAAACCAGUUGCCUGCUCAAAGGACCAUCUGGCCUGCAUCCCGUCCAUUCCCCCAGCCUCUAGGCUACUGCUGUGCCCUACUUUUACUUGGCUGUGCAAGGACAUGGGGCAUCAAAGCACCUGCUGUUUUUAAGGCCUAACCUUAGGGCUGCCCUCAAUCUAACUUAUUCUAUUUACGUAGAUCCUGUGGGGUUAUUUUCUCCCUUGGAGUUGCCUUAGCUUUACCAGAAAACACACAUUCUACACAGAAAGGUAGCAUCAAGACAAGUUGGGAUCAUUAGUCCACAGAAUGUUAACAACUGGCCAAUAAUUUAUGUGAGGCCUCAAGGGAAGAGUUUGAUACCUCCCUGCAUGAUGGGCCUGUGCAGUGUCCUUCCUCUCCAACUUUCUCAUUUUCUGCUUCGAUUUAAAUUUGAUCAGCAGUUGUCCUGUGGGCACUUUUAACCUUCCAUUGAAUUGGAAAACUUUUUAAAAAGGAGAAUGUCUUGAGUUAUCUGUCAGUACAGCCCAACUGAGGAGGAGAAAGACUUAAAUUCUCUCUUCCUGCUUUAUUUGAAAAGUUGUACUUUUUCUAAAUGUGACAACUGCUCCUAGAAAUAAUAGUUGCUUGGAUCUGAUUGAGUCGGUCAUGUUUGCCAGUCCCAAAAAAAGGUUUUAUUCAUGUCUGAAAAAUGGCAAUAAAUAAAAAGGAUAG
ensembl:lncRNA